AGCCUCAUAGUGUAAUGGUAGCACACCGGAUUUUGAUUCCGUUCGUCUAGGUUCGAAUCCUAGUGAGGCUA
rnacentral:tRNA from 1 species